UACAGAGGGUGCGAGCGUUGUUCGGAAUUAUUGGGCGUAAAGGGCGCGUAGGCGGUGCGGUAAGUCACCUGUGAAAUCUCCUGGCUCAACUGGGAGCUUGCAGGCGAAACUGCCGUGCUGGAGUGUGGGAGAGGUGCGUGGAAUUCCUGGUGUAGCGGUGAAGUGCGUAGAUAUCAGGAGGAACACCUGUGGCGAAAGCGGCGCACUGGACCACAACUGACGCUGAGGCGCGAAAGCUAGGGGAGCAAACAGG
rnacentral:rRNA from 1 species